rnacentral:tRNA from 1 species
UCCCUCAUGGUCUAGCGUUUAGGAUUCCUGGCUUUCACCCAGGCGGCCCGGGUUCGACUCUUGGCGUGGAAG